rnacentral:rRNA from 1 species
GUCUGAGGUGGAAGUGUGGCGACACAUGGAGCUGACAGAUACUAAUCGAUCGAGGACUUAACCUA